GACGAACGCUGGCGGCGUGCUUAACACAUGCAAGUCGAGCGAGGCCACCUCUGUCUUUGACGGAGGUGUUCGAGCGGCGAACGGGUGAGUAACACGUGAGUAAUCUGCCCUUCACUUGGGGAGUAACCUCCGGAAACGGUGGCUAAUACCCGACUACGACCACGGAUUGCCUGAUCCGUGGUGGAAAGAGUCUAUUGGUGGAGGAUGUGCUCGCGGCCUAUCAGCUUGUU
rnacentral:rRNA from 1 species